ensembl:lncRNA
AAAGGAGCUUUGGCAGAUUAUGAUGUAUGCACAGUCUGCGUGGUCUGCAUGUGCUGCAGAUGUUUGCUAGGAAAAAGGUACUCAGAGGAGCGCUGCUGUAGAGUUACCUGUUUAUGCAGAAACUUCUGGGAUAUAAAGUAUCAGCUUGCCACACCUGAAAAUAUUGACCCUAAUUCAUAUUUUGAGCUGAUGCCCCUCUGAGACAGAGACUCCAAAGGACGUGGAAAAUAUACUUCUUGUUUUGAAUCAGUAAGCCAAUGAGACCAGAAAGCUCCGAAGCACGGUGUGUAACCCUCUGCAGGAGACUGCCUCAGUCUGAUUACAAAGGACCCAUACAUGGAAGUGGGAAGAAAGUACCAAAUGCAGCGUGGGAAACUCCAAUCAGUCCCAGAAGUUGGAAAUGAGUCCUGCAUGUUCAACACCUCUUAACAUCUUCCAGUUACUUGAGGACGUGGAAGAGAUGUAAUUCAAUUGUCCAAUUGAAAAGCAUGUCCUACAUUAUAUUUUUCUUUUGUAAAGGGUUGCACGGGUCAUCUUUGUGAAAGAUCUGUCUCCCGAGGCUUUGUAUACAGCCUGGCCAGCUGACCAGUGCGGAGACCUCUGAGGCCAAAUGCAUGUGGGUUCUGACAGCAGCAGCAGUUGUGCUGACACAACUGGUAUUGAAAUUGAAAGCAGAGCUGCAAUUCAAACCACAUAAAUCCAUCUUUACUUGCUUACCACUGUGCUGAGCUGUAAUGGCAGACAGCUUUGCAGCCAGAGGAGUCAAGCGGAUUGCAUACUUGAGAUGCUAUUCUCUGGCAUGUUGCAAGAAUAUUAUUUAGAGUCAAAGUGAUAAUUUUCAUUAAAAACAGAUAAAUGAACAGUUUAAAUGCAAGAGUGACAAAUCCUGUCUUGUGUGUUCUUUCAGUCUGGUGGGAUAUGAUGGUUGUAUUACUGGCUCUUUUCUUGGCCUUAAGGACAGCACAGUUUACUCCAGGAUCACCAAGAAAAGCUCACAACUAAGGCAAAGGCAGAGCCUUUUAUUUUUAAGAACUAGUGUGUUGAUAUCCGCUGCUGGCAACUGAAGUCUUCACAGCUGUGAUGUAAUCUAGAACACUUUCUUCAGCACUACUCCAGGAAUUGAUAGGAAUGGGAUUUGAGGUACUUUCCACAGACUUAACAUCUCAGAUCAAUGAUCUCAGGUCCUUUCAGACUCAUGUAAAAUUUCUACAAGAACAAAUUGCUUUUCUUAGUGAAACAUGUACAUCUCACCAUCAGUCUAGUCUAGCCAAGGACUGAGAUAUGAUACUUGCUCAGUUGGAAAGAAGAAAUCCACAACCCAGACCACUUGGCUACCAACAUAGUCAGAUUCAUAGGUACUGUUUGAUAAUUACAUAGGUAAGUUAUUCCUGUCAACCCCUCUUGACUGUCCUCAUCUACUUGGUGUAUGAACCAGUUUCCACAGACUGAAAUGUGCAGUGGUCAUCCAGAACAGAGCAGCUCUGUCUCCCUGUGUUCUGAAAGAAGCCGCAUCACAUGAAGCCGGGCUUGCGUUACACAGCACUAAAGAGCGCUGGACUCCAGUGUAGAAAGUUACAGCUCAGUCUCCAGACAGUGAAUAAUAAACUCAAAUCUGACUAGAGCA